rnacentral:rRNA from 1 species
AGUGAACGCUGGCGGUAGGCCUAACACAUGCAAGUCGAACGGCAGCACAGUAAGAGCUUGCUCUUACGGGUGGCGAGUGGCGGACGGGUGAGGAAUACAUCGGAAUCUACUUUUUCGUGGGGGAUAACGUAGGGAAACUUACGCUAAUACCGCAUACGACCUACGGGUGAAAGCAGGGGAUCUUCGGACCUUGCGCGAUUGAAUGAGCCGAUGUCGGAUUAGCUAGUUGGCGGGGUAAAGGCCCACCAAGGCGACGAUCCGUAGCUGGUCUGAGAGGAUGAUCAGCCACACUGGAACUGAGACACGGUCCAGACUCCUACGGGAGGCAGCAGUGGGGAAUAUUUGGCAAAGGGCGCAAGCCUGAUCCAGCCAUACCGCGUUGGUGAAGAAGGCCUUCGGGUUGUAAAGCCCUUUUGUUGGGAAAGAAAAGCAGCAGGUUAAUACCCCGCUGUUCUGACGGUACCCAAAGAAUAAGCACCGGCUAACUUCGUG